GGUUAAGCGAAUAAGCGUACACGGUGGAUGCCUAGGCAAUCAGAGGCGAUGAAGGACGUGCUAAUCUGCGAUAAGCGUCGGUAAGGUGAUAUGAACCGUUAUACCCGACGAUUUCCGAAUGGGGAAACCCAAUAUCCAAUGGAUAUUAUCAUUAACUGAAUACAUAGGUUAAUGAAGCGAACCGGGAGAACUGAAACAUCUCAGUACCCCGAGGAAAAGAAAUCAACCGAGAUUCCCCUAGUAGCGGCGAGCGAACGGGGAACAGCCCAGAGUCUUAAUCAAUAGCAGCAUCAGGAGAACGGUCUGGAAAGUCCGGCAGUAAAGGGUGAUAGCCCCGUAUCCGAAGAUGCUGUUAUUGUGAACUCGACGAGUAGGGCGGGACACGUGUUAUCCUGUCUGAAUAUGGGGGGACCAUCCUCCAAGGCUAAAUACUCCUGAUUGACCGAUAGUGAACCAGUACCGUGAGGGAAAGGCGAAAAGAACCCCGGCGAGGGGAGUGAAAAAGAACCUGAAACCGUGUACGUACAAGCAGUAGGAGCCUCUUUAUGGGGUGACUGCGUACCUUUUGUAUAAUGGGUCAGCGACUUAUAUUCUGUAGCGAGGUUAACCGUAUAGGGGAGCCGUAGGGAAACCGAGUCUUAACUGGGCGAAUGAGUUGCAGGGUAUAGACCCGAAACCCGGUGAUCUAUCCAUGGGCAGGUUGAAGGUUGGGUAACACUAACUGGAGGACCGAACCGACUAAUGUUGAAAAAUUAGCGGAUGACUUGUGGAUGGGGGUGAAAGGCCAAUCAAACCGGGAGAUAGCUGGUUCUCCCCGAAAGCUAUUUAGGUAGCGCCUCGUGAACUCAUCUUCGGGGGUAGAGCACUGUUUCGACUAGGGGGUCAUCCCGACUUACCAACUCGAUGCAAACUGCGAAUACCGAAGAAUGUUAUCACGGGAGACACACGGCGGGUGCUAACGUCCGUCGUGAAGAGGGAAACAACCCAGACCGCCAGCUAAGGUCCCAAAGUCAUGGUUAAGUGGGAAACGAAGUGGGAAGGCUCAGACAGCCAGGAUGUUGGCUUAGAAGCAGCCAUCAUUUAAAGAAAGCGUAAUAGCUCACUGGUCGAGUCGGCCCGCGCGGAAGAUGUAACGGGGCUAAACCAUGCACCGAAGCUGCGGCAGCGACACUAAGUGUUGUUGGGUAGGGGAGCGUUCUGUAAGCCUGCGAAGGUGUACUGUGAGGUAUGCUGGAGGUAUCAGAAGUGCGAAUGCUGACAUAAGUAACGAUAAUGCGGGUGAAAAACCCGCACGCCGGAAGACCAAGGGUUCCUGUCCAACGUUAAUCGGGGCAGGGUGAGUCGACCCCUAAGGCGAGGCUGAAAAGCGUAGUCGAUGGGAAACGGGUUAAUAUUCCCGUACUGGUGGUAACUGCGAUGGGGGAACGGAGAAGGCUAGGUUGUCCGGGCGACGGUCGUCCCGGUUCAAGCAUGUAGGCAGAGUGAUUAGGCAAAUCCGGUCACUUAAUGCUGAGGUGUGAUGACGAGCCACUAAGGUGGUGAAGCAAUUGAUGCCCUGCUUCCAGGAAAAGCCUCUAAGCUUCAGGUUACCAACAAUCGUACCCCAAACCGACACAGGUGGUCAGGUAGAGAAUACUCAGGCGCUUGAGAGAACUCGGGUGAAGGAACUAGGCAAAAUGGUGCCGUAACUUCGGGAGAAGGCACGCUGGCGGUAAGUGAAGUCCCUUGCGGACGGAGCCGAAGCCAGUCGAAGAUACCAGCUGGCUGCAACUGUUUAUUAAAAACACAGCACUGUGCAAACACGAAAGUGGACGUAUACGGUGUGACGCCUGCCCGGUGCUGGAAGGUUAAUUGAUGGGGUUAUCCUUAGGGAGAAGCUCUUGAUCGAAGCCCCAGUAAACGGCGGCCGUAACUAUAACGGUCCUAAGGUAGCGAAAUUCCUUGUCGGGUAAGUUCCGACCUGCACGAAUGGCGUAAUGAUGGCCAGGCUGUCUCCACCCGAGACUCAGUGAAAUUGAACUCGCUGUGAAGAUGCAGUGUACCCGCGGCAAGACGGAAAGACCCCGUGAACCUUUACUAUAGCUUGACACUGAACAUUGAGCCUUGAUGUGUAGGAUAGGUGGGAGACUAUGAAGUGUGGACGCCAGUCUGCAUGGAGUCAACCUUGAAAUACCACCCUUUAACGUUUGAUGUUCUAACCUAGGUCCAUAAUCUGGAUCGGGGACCGUGUCUGGUGGGUAGUUUGACUGGGGCGGUCUCCUCCUAAAGAGUAACGGAGGAGCACGAAGGUUGGCUAAGCAUGGUCGGACAUCAUGCGGUUAGUGCAAAGGCAUAAGCCAGCUUGACUGUGAGAGUGACGGCUCGAGCAGGUACGAAAGUAGGUCUUAGUGAUCCGGUGGUUCUGAAUGGAAGGGCCAUCGCUCAACGGAUAAAAGGUACUCCGGGGAUAACAGGCUGAUACCGCCCAAGAGUUCAUAUCGACGGCGGUGUUUGGCACCUCGAUGUCGGCUCAUCACAUCCUGGGGCUGAAGUAGGUCCCAAGGGUAUGGCUGUUCGCCAUUUAAAGUGGUACGCGAGCUGGGUUUAGAACGUCGUGAGACAGUUCGGUCCCUAUCUGCCGUGGGCGUUGGAAGAUUGAGAGGGGUUGCUCCUAGUACGAGAGGACCGGAGUGAACGCACCACUGGUGUUCGGGUUGUCAUGCCAAUGGCAUUGCCCGGUAGCUAAGUGCGGAAGAGAUAACCGCUGAAAGCAUCUAAGCGGGAAACUUGCCUCGAGAUGAGUCUUCCCUGUCACCUAGAGUGACCUAAAGGAACGUUUAAGACUAAGACGUUGAUAGGCUGGGUGUGUAAGCGUAGCGAUACGUUGAGCUAACCAGUACUAAUGAACCGUGAGGCUUAACCUG
rnacentral:rRNA from 1 species